AGCUGUCCUUCAUCACAACACAAGACACAGAAAUCCUCCUCAUCAGCAACAUGACUCUGAUCUCCGUCCUCAUCUGGACUCUCCUCUGCUGCUGCUUCACAGAGUCCAGAGGUCAGGUCACAGUGACUCAGCCUGGAGCAGUGAGAACCACACUGGGAGGAAGAGUCACCAUCAGCUGUAGAACCAGUCAGAGUGUUGCAUGUAGCCCUAAUUGUUUGUCCUGGUACCAACAGAAAAACAGAGAAUCUCCUAAACUGCUCAUUUACCGUGCUACUAGUCGACAGUCAGGGAUUCCAGAUCGUUUUUCAGGCAGUGGAUCAAACUCUGACUUCACGCUGACCAUCAGUGGAGUCCAGGCUGAAGAUGCAGCAGAUUAUUACUGUCAGAGUCAUCAUUACAUUAACAGCAAAGCUGUGUUCACACAGUGA